GACGAACGCUGGCGGCGUGCUUAACACAUGCAAGUCGAACGGUGAAGCGCCUUCCUUUUUGGUGGGUGUGGAUGAGUGGCGAACGGGUGAGUAACACGUGAGUAACCUGCCCCCUUCUUCUGGAUAACCGCAUGAAAGUGUGGCUAAUACGGGAUAUUCUGGGUCUGUCGCAUGAUGGGUCUGGGAAAGAUAUUGUUUCGGUGGGGGAUGGGCUCGCGGCCUAUCAGCUUGUUGGUGGGGUGAUGGCCUACCAAGGCGGUGACGGGUAGCCGGCCUGAGAGGGUGGGCGGUCACACUGGGUCUGAGACACGGCCCAGACUCCUACGGGAGGCAGCAGUGGGGAAUCUUGCACAAUGGGAGCAAGCCUGAUGCAGCGACGCCGCGUGGGGGAUGGAGGCCUUCGGGUUGUGAACCUCUUUCGCCAGUGAAGCAGGCCUGCCUCGUUUGUGGGUGGGUUGACGGUAGCUGGAUAAGAAGCGCCGGCUAACUACGUG
rnacentral:rRNA from 1 species